GGGCCGAGGCCCGGCUGGGUCGGGGCCGGGAGAGGAGCGAGAGCGGAACGGGGCAGGGAGCGGGGCAGGACCCGAGGCCGCUCCUCCACGCCGGGCCUCAGGUGUCCGCGGGCGGUGGGACCCGCCCCCCCGCAGCAGCGAGGCGCUCCGUGACUCGCCGCCCCCGGCACCGAAAAUCACAGAAUGAGCUUAGAUGGAAUAGACCUGUGCGAUCAUUGAUCCCAGGCUGUGACCGAGCACCACCGUGUCAACCAGGGCACUGAGUCUUUUCUUAAACACCUCAGGGUCGGUCACACCCCCACCUCCCUGGGCAGCCUAUUCCAGUGUCUAAUCACCUUUUCUGUGAAGAAAUUCCUGCUAAUGCCCAACCUAAACCUCCCCUGGUACAGCUGGAGACUAUGAUCUCUCGUUCUGUCACUAUCUGCGUGGGAGACGAGGCCGCUCCCCAGCCCGCUCCAGCCUCCUUUGAGGUGUAUGGCUGUCAAUAACAACAGAUUUGAGAAGAUUUCUGAUUUAUUUCUGAAGUACUUCCCUAUGAAAGAGUUUCUGUUUGGUGAAGAAGCUGUUCUGGUUCCAUCUACUGAGCAAUUGACCAAAGUUCAUGGAAGUCUCCUUUGCCUGACUUCUCUGUUUAACAAAUUCAAUGGUUUUUUAAAAGGGAAAACAAAAUAAAUACUACAAUAUGA